AUGGGGGUAUGUUGAACGAAGUCCCCUGUUUGGUACUGGAGAUGCCCACUCAAGUUGGAGAAAAUUUGUUGGAGCUGAUCGACGAGCAGGAAGCAUUCCGUGACGCUCAAAGGGAAGGUGUUCACAAGGACUGAAACUCAGUGGAUUCAAGCGAGACGUCUAGAAGGAGUCCGUGAUGUUCAAAGGAAUGUUUUCAAGAGGACUGAAACUUAUGGAAGAAGAUAUUGCGAGAAAACCGACGCUGCGCUCAAUGCAAUUGAAAAUAGAGCCAAAGAAGUUGGGUUGGAGUUAAAAAUACACCACGAGCCGCAAAGACAUGGAAAUGCUCUUCCAAGGGAGGUGAUGAGAAAGAAGGAAUGAAGGGUAUGUUUUGUUUUGAUAACCAUAUUGGUCGCAUAAUCUUUUUCUUUUCUUUUUUGUUGCUAAGUGCUAAAUUACAUUCCAACCCAAAAAGUAAAGUAGCAUGUGUUGACAAGACCAAAACUGAGACCUUCAAGUAGCACUUCCAAAAGCAGGGGAGUAACACCAAGGGAUUAGGAACAGCAGCAGCGUCUCAGCUCGAAUGAGGCCCUCAUAACAAGACCAUAACAGAGGCAUCAACGAAGCCAAAAUGGAGUAGCCCAGGAUUGAGGCCACAACAUGAACGUAACAGAAGUAUC